rnacentral:tRNA from 1 species
GGGAAUGUGGCUCACUGGUAGAGUUUUUGCCUUGCAUGCUCAAAGCCCUGGGUUUGAUUCCUAGCACCA